rnacentral:rRNA from 1 species
UUGACUGACCAAAUCCCUUGGGAUGUGGCCGAUAUCAUCAGAUUUUGGAAGCUAAGUAGGGUUCAGCUUGCUUAGUACUUGGAUGGGAAACUACCUGGGAAACCAGUUGUUGGAGGAC